AUCAAGUCAGUGCAAAGAAACAGGACGUGGAGUGUGCCGGUGGGGACUUACAUGGACGAAUGAAUUGGUGAGGCCCCCCUGAGGUGGGCUGACACCUCAUCACCCCCUGACUGGAGCCGGCAGAAGGAUGAGAGAAAAUCCCCCACGUGACUGAGUCUCCAAGGUUUAUCAACAAGGUGUCCUGCAGUAAGUUUGCCUGCAUCUGGAGAAAACCUGGGCUCCAGGAGGAGUGGAUGCAUCUUCGGGAACACUGACGGUUGUGCAAAGGUUCAUGAGGAGUUAGGAGCACGCAGCCACCGGCUGCAGUCUACAGCAGCAACUCGAGGGAACCUGAAAUUUGAUGUGUCAUUGUGGAAGAAGAUGAGAUUGCCUGCCUGCGUGGUGGAAAUGUGGUUUUGGUCACUACUAAUAAAGCUGCUAUAAACGAUUAUGUACAGGUGUGUGUGGACCUAAGUUUCCGUUUCUCCGGGAUAGACAACCAGGAGUGCAACUGACAGGUUG